rnacentral:lncRNA from 1 species
AGUUUUCAUAGGCGAAGGGAAGGAAAUGAGGAGAAGAGGGUGGAGACCAGAAGACGAAGCCAAGAGAGAGAGGAAGGAUAAAGGAAAUUGAUCGGCCUAUUUUCGUUUUGGAGGUAAGUCCUUCAUUAUAAAACAUAUGUUCCCUCAUAUUCUUUUUUUUGUCUAUUAUUAUCAGGAUUUGUUUGAUGAUUGAAUGCAACUUUCAAAGGCCAUGUGACUGGUGUUGAUUUUGGAUUGUUAUUAGAUUUGUCAUAGUUUGUGUUUCUUCCAUUGCUUUCUGUUUAUAUUAAAGAAUGAUCCGACUUUGUUAGUUCCAUUGUAAUAUCUAGAAGUUCCUUCUUCUUUCUUCCAUAUUCAAGCCUGUUGAAAGGGCAUGUAUGAUUGCCCAUCUACGUGUUUCCCUUCCCCUUGCCAUCCCUUUGCUAUAUUUUAUCGCCUUUGUACAUGGUUUGUGCGUCGGGUUGCAAAAACGUCUUAUCAUUUGCAAUGAUUAGCACCCGAGCCAUCCUCAUUUGGCUGAUCAAUGUCACUAGGGAAGUUCUUGGAGGGCGGUUGCUGUUCUUGAUAUUACAAGUGGUAUGGUGGUAUUUGUGGGUUUUGUUGAGGGCAUUUGGGUUCAGAUCAAAACUGCCCAUCUGAGGUCCUGGAUGAAAGAAUCAAUCAUGUGUCUGUUAUCUAUCUCAAUUAUCUAUAAGAUAGACAAGCGUCCUUAUUAGCAACAGGUGAAAGAACGGGUAUGCAGAUAGAUCUAAGCCAAGUUGGAGAGUGGUGUCGAACACGCGCUUGAUGAAGGAAACAUUGAGGUUCUUGGAUAUAAGCAUGGGUCCUACCAUCAGAUCUGAUGUGACAACCAGUAUGUUGUGUCACAAGGAAGAAAUAUUUGAACCAAUACUUCUCUGCAUGGCCAUGCGAAUUCCGAGCAUAUAUACUCCUCGAUUGGGACGACGUUCAUAAUGUUGACCACGUGUGAACUAUUUUUUGAAGGUGGGAAUUUUGCGAAUUCAUUUCAGCGGCCAAUUUUGUGUGUAUUUGAUCAGACUUUGAGCUAUCAGUUGGAAUCCAGCAUGACUUUAGUUAUCGGCCGCUCGUUCAUGAUGUGCUGGGUUUGAAGCUUAAUAGGUUAGAGUAUGGGGCAGACCUCUAGCACUGCUAGGUUUGCCUGACACAGGUGGACAGAUUGUUUAUAUGCUGGAUCAAGUGCGUGCCUUAGAAAAUGAGAUGCUUCUUAAGAUACAAAAGCAAAGACUUGAUGUCAUCCCUAAAAUUCUCAUAGUUACCCGACUUAUACCUGAUGCAAAGGGGACCACGCGCAAUUAGAGACUUGAAAGAAUCAGUGGUACAUAACAUACACAUAUUUUUUGAGUGACUUUUAGAACAGUAAAUAGUAUUCUGCAGAAAUGGAUCUCAAGGUUUGAUGUAUGGCCAUAUCUGGAAACCUUUGCAGAGGAUGCAUCAAAUGAAAUUGCUGCCCAGCUACAGGGAGUUCCAGAUCUGAUCAUUGGCAACUAUAGUGAUGGGAAUCUUGUUGCAUCUUUAUUAUCUUAUAAGCUGGGAAUUACGCAGUGCAAUAUUGCUCAUGCAAUGGAGAAAACAAAAUAUCCAGAGUCUGAUAUAUAUUGGAGAAAAUUUGAGGAUAAGUACCAUUUCUCAAGCCAAUUUACUGCUGAUCUAAUUGCAAUGAACAAUGCAGAUUCUAUAAUCACCAGUACAUACCAAGAGAUUGCCGGAAGCAAGAAUCAUGUUGGACAGUAUGAGAGCCGCACAACCUUCACUCUUCUAGGGCUGCACCGAGUUGUUCAUGGCAUUGAUUUUUUAUCCCAAGUUUAAUAUCAUAUCUCUAGAAGCAGACAUGCCCAUAUACUUCUCAUACUCAGAAAAGGAGAUGGUUGAAAGUCACAUGCAGAAACUGGUCCAUAUGGAGAACUUGAAAAUAUGCACAUAUUCCUUUUUGAUCCUUGCUGCCAGUUUUCACUCAACCACUGACCCUUUAAUUUCAAAAUUCAGUUCGGAAACUUUAGGAUAUCUGUAAAAAAUUUACAAAACUUUUAUGACUUUCUUAACUUUUUGAACUUGAAUUUAAAGUUUUGUUUGAGUUAGAAAACCAUUCUGGAAUAGAAGAUAUAAACAAGUCUUUAGGGGUGCUCCAUUUUCACCCAGUUCUGGAUACCCGGGAUCAUUUUGCAAAAAUAAAAUACCAAACGAAUUUUUAAAUUUGAUUCAAUAUUUUUACUCAAUUCUAGGCUUCUUGAAAUUGAUCUAAGGUAUAUAAAAUAUUAAAAAAUAUGCCUUUUUGAGGGAGAAAUGAAUUUUUAAAAUUGUACCUACCGUGAAUGCUAGAGUCUGUACAUCUAAUUAGAUUUAGUGUUUUAAAAAUAUUUUUGAGUACUAUCCAACCCUGAAUUUAUUUUUUAUAUGAUAUAGAUACUUUGAAAUAUGAGUAUGAUUAUUUUUUUAUGAUUUUAUUUGAUAAUUUAUUAUUUUAAAAAAAAUUCAUUUAUGCAUGUCACUUUUCCUUAUCUAAUCUGGACUUUGUAGAACCUUUAGAUGUCUUUGCUGUAAUCUAUCCUUUGAAUGAGUGUUUGGCUUUUGGUAUGUUGAUCUAGAUGUGUAGGAAUUGUCUCUUGAAAUUUUUUUGUAUUUAAAUUCCACUCUAAGCCAUUUUUUUAGAAAUUGUUUUGUGAUGCUUCCUUUUCUAACUACAUGUUGAUGGUUUUAUACUUUACUCAAAAUUUUUAUAUUUUUGAAGUUAUUUGAUUUAUCUUAGCUCAAUUUUGGCUUUGACACUGUGCAUUAGACAUAGUGGAUAUUUUAUAUAAUUUAUUCUUGCCCUAACCACUCUAGCAUUUUUCGAGGAAUCUUAUAAAAUAUACUUGCUAUCUAGGUACAUUCUCUAUCCUCUAAUUCCAAAAUUCUAUGAAAAUGCAUAUUAUCAUGAGCUAUAUCCAUGUUUUGAUUUAAUCCUUGGGUGCUUAGAUGUAUGUUUGACUUGCUUGGAUAAAAUGCAUGUUGUGUGUUAUAUCUCUAUACUAACUUUGAUGUCUUAUGAACGCUUGAGAGGCAGUCCAGGUACAUACCCUAACUUUCUUUUAUUGUGAUUUGAUCUUGUUUGGCAUGCUAUUUUUUGGAAUCACCUAGCCUACUUACGUACCUAUAAUUAACCAAUUAAUUGCCACAUUUCCCUCAAAUUAGUUAGUAGAGACCUUUAUAGGGCUUAGAGGGGUGCUACCUUUUAGAGGUACCUUCCCAAUAGGUAACCUGAUCCCCAGACCUAGACUCGGGUUUUUCAAAGGCAUGCUUUUUCCAAAAUUUAUGGAGUCACUUUUUAGGGUUUUCUUUCUUGUUUUAUUUUCCCUUUAAAAUAAAAAUAAAAUAAGUGGCGACUCCAACUUUUCCAAAAAUUAUUUUUUCACAAAUAAAAGCGAGUCUCGCCGAUCGAGUGAGGACACACGUGAAAAAUACGAGUCCACAAAUUGGCGACUCCCCUAGGGAUUUUGAGGAUCAAGCUUGAACACUAGUUGAGGAAAAUGAGGCGUUUAAUUGGUCGACUAGAGGGUGCCUCAAUUUUUUUUAGGCAAGGUGAUUUGGUUUGCAUGCUUGAUUUGCUUGCUAUCUUAACAUGUUUGAUUGCCUUACAUGACCACUUGAUUGUUUGCUCACUCCAGCAUGAUUCACUCCCACAUAUGAUAGAUAGCACUUUGUUUGUAUGAUAUCUAUCUAUUUGAUAUGACUGUUUGUUGCAUGAUGACCCUUACUUCUACAUGAUUGUAUGAUUGCUUGUCUUUGUUCACUAUCUCACUUUAGACCUUAGGUUUUUCGGAUGCACCCGCAUCCUUCACUAUGCACUUCAGAUUAUCCCUAAGUGUUGAGAGAUGGGAGAUCCUUCAUCAUUAGGAAACCCCCUAGGAAAGCGAGGAAGUGCAUGUGUGGAGGUGAUUGCCACUUUGCAUGGAAGCACCCCGUCUCCUUGGAAGCGUGCAAAGGGUUGUGUACCACCGGAGGGUACGAUCAUUUCUGCUAGGGAUCAUUUAACCCACCCAUUUUGUCUCCUUGGUUUCGCAUCUUCAGAUUUUGGUUCAUCCACUUAGACAGUCAGAGUGUAUGAUAGCACCAAGAGAGAGGUUAUGGGUACCUUGGUGAUUGAUUUGCAGAUUGGUCCAACCACAUUUUCUACUUUGUUCCAGGUUUUGAGGAUUCCUACAUCCUUUAACCUGCUACUAGGCCAACCUUGGAUUCAUAAAGCUAGAGUUAUUCCUUCUUCCCUUCAUCAGAAGGUGAAGUUCAUUCAUGAUGGGCAGGUUAUCACGGUACAGUCUACUAGAGAUAUGUUUGUUUCUUCUGAGCUAGUACUUCAGAUCAGUCACAAUGAGGAUGACAUGUUUUUUACUAGGUUUACUUUUGAUAAGAUACAGACUCUUGAAAUUGAGGAUUUUUGCAGAGAUUUUGUAGCUAUGUCGUUUGAUCAGCAUAGCAACACAGUGGCACAGUGUUUCUUGAUAUGAUGAAGGGUAUGACUUUCUUACUUGGUAUGGGGUUAGGAUGACGUCAGCAAGGAUCCAGUGAGUUUAUAGCUGCUAUUGACCAUGAUACUACAUUUGGACUUGGGUUCAUUCCUACUGAGGCCGAUUACCGAUAUAUGGCGCGAUUGCGCAAGGAGAGAGUUAUGGCCCGUUUGUCUCACACACCAUUUGAUUAUCCUAUUCGACCCUAUAUGAUGAGUUUGGCUGACUAUAUUUGUCAGAUGAUCAAAUAUUCAACCUCGUGUAGAGGCGAUUGAUAGUCUGGUUCAUACAGAUAGAGAUAUUGAGCUUCAGCAUCUAUUUCACCAGUUACAGUUGAGUGAUGGGGCUCCUGGCACUUCUGUUUCUGUGGCGAUUGCUCCUCUGUCUUCAGAUCGAGCUAGUUUAUUGUCCCUAUGCUUCUCAGAGGAGGUUACUGAUGAUGGAGUUGUCGUUGAUCCCACUGAGAUGAUUGAUGGAGUUGUUCCUCAUGAUGAGUAUAGAGAUGAGAUGGACAUGAUGACCGUGAGCCAGAUUACCAGCAUUGUUCAACUUUAGCCUGUUUCACCAUUCGAUAUGUUUAGGGCGUCUACUACUGAGGUUGCUGAGGAGACCCAGACUAUUCCUGCUCCAGAGCUUUUAGAGGAUGAUGGUAGUUUAUUUGAGGGCACUAUUGGCCGAGUUGAGGGAGCGUCCGAUCUUAUGGACCCACUUAUUUCCUUUGAUGUUUUAUCGGGAUUUGUCUCUCGCUCUGACGAUGUUUCUAUUGCUUCAUUUAUGGAUUUGAGUAUUUUUUUAGUAUUCGCCUAUCUCUUAUGAUAGUAUCUCUAUAUCUGCACCCCACUCACCCACUCAACAGAUAUUUGAUAUAGAUGAUGAGAUUGUACAGCUUGAUUCAGAUAGAGACUAUUUUGAUCAUGACUCAGAUUCCAUAGAUGUGAGAGCUUCACCUACUACAAGGGAUGUUGAGACUAUUGAUUUUGGCACAGAGGAUCAACCUAGAGAGUUGAAGAUUGGUUCACCCUUAUCUAAAGAUGAGAGGUAUGGACUUAAUCAUUUACUCAGGUCGUACUUGGAUGUCUUUGCAUGGUCUUAUGAGGACAUUCCUGGUCUCGAUCCCUCUAUAGUCCAGCACCAUUUGCCUGUCCUACCACAUGCUAGACUGGUUAAGCAGAAAUUGAGGCGAUUGCAUCCACGUUGGAGUCUAAAGGGGAAAGAGAAGAUUCUGAAACAACUCAGUGUUGGAUUUGUAUAAGUGGUUGAGUAUCCAGAGUGGUUAGCUAAUGUCAUCCCUGUUCCCAAAAAGGACGACAAAGUUAGAGUAUGUGUUGACUUCAAAGACCUUAAUAAAGCCAGCACUAAAGAUGACUUUCCUCUUCCACACAUUGAUUUGUUGGUCGAUAGCACCGCAGGCCAUUCGAUGUUGUCUUUCAUGGAUGGGUUUUCAAGGUAUAAUUAGAUUUUGAUGGCUCCAUAGGAUAUAGAGAAGACAACCUUUAUUACUGAGUGAGGUACUUACUGUUACAGGGUUAUGCCAUUUGGGUUGAAGAAUGUAGGAGCCACUUAUCAGAGGACCGCUACUACCUUGUUUCACGACAUGAUGCAUAGAGAUGUUGAAGUAUACAUGGAUGAUAUGAUUGUGAAAUCCCAAAGCAGAGCAAAUCACCUAGUAGCUCUAAAAAUAUUCUUUUAGAGGAUCCGAAAAUUUCGAUUGGGGUUGAAUCCCAAGAAGUACACCUUUGGAGUGACAUCUAGGAAAUUGUUGAGGCAUAUGGUUAGUGAGCAAGGCAUAGAGGUCGACCCAGAUAAGAUCAAAGCCAUACUUGGCAUGCCUAUGCCGAGGAUUGAGAAAGAAAUUAGAGGUUUUUUGGGCAGAUUAUAGUACAUUAGUCGAUUCAUAGCCAGAUUGACAAACAUAUGUGAGUCUAUCUUUCGUCUUUUGAGGAAGAACCAGCCAACAGUUUGGAAUAAUAAUUGUCAUCUUGCAUUUGAGAAGAUUAAGGAGUAUUUGCUUUCUCCUCUUGUUUUAGUGCCUCCCAUGCUGGGACGUCCACUUCUUUUCUAUUUGUCAGCUUCAGACAUGGCCUUGAGAUGUAUGCUAGCUCAGCUUGAUGACUUAGGGAAUGAGCGAGUUAUUUACUAUUUGAGUAAGAGGAUAUUGGAGUAUGAGAUGAGAUGUUAUGAUGGAGCACCUUUUCUUGGUACUAGUUUGGGCUACCAUGAGAUUGAGGCAUUACAUGACAGAGUAUUUAGUGCAUUUGAUAUCUCGCUUAGACCCGUUGAGAUACUUAUUUGACAGACCUGCAUUGACUGGUAGACUGAUGAGAAGUCUUGUACUUUUGAUAGAGUUCGAUAUUCAAUAUGUUUCUCAAAAGUCCAUUAAGGGAAGCAUUGUCGCCGAUCACUUAGCUCCGCUACCAACAUCCGAGAAUAGAAACAGUUGAUGAUGAUUUUCUAGAUAAGGAGUUUGUUGCUAUGACCAGCUUAUCAGGAUGGUGCAUGUACUUCGAUGGUGCAACCAAUCAGUUAGGGUAUGGGAUAGGUGUUCUAUUGGUAUCCCCUCAGGGUGAUCAUAUUCCAAGGUUCGUUCGUUUGGCAUUCUCUGAUCAACAUCUUGCCAUGAAUAACAUAGUUGAGUAUGAGGCUUGUAUCCUUGGUUUAAAGACUGCAUUGGAGCUUGGCAUUAGACAGAUGGAGGUAUUUGGUGAGUCCAAUUUAGUACUUAGACAGAUUCAAGGAGAUUGGAAGACUAGGGAUGUAAAGCUUAGGUCGUAUCAAGCUUAUUUAGAGUUUCUGGUUAAGAGAUUUGAUGACUUGAGAUAUGUUCAUCUGCCUAAAGUGUAGAAUUGGUUUGUCGACGCCUUAGCUACCCUAGCUUCUUCUGUAGACAUUUCAAUUGAUAUAGUUUUACGUCCAUUACUGAUUGAGUUGAGGUCUACACCUGCCUACUGUUAUUUGAUUGGAGAGACAAAAGUCCAAUAUGAUCUACCUUGGUAUCAUGACAUUUAUCGGUUUCUCAAAUCUGGCACAUACCCUGAGGUAGCCACUGCCAAGGAUCAUAGAGCACUGAGGCAUUCGACCACUAGAUUUGUGAUUUGUGGAGAGACUCUAUAUAGGCGAUCAACUAAUGGUAUGCUUCUAUUAUGUUUAGAUCGAGCCUCUAUAGAUCAAGUGAUGAGAGAGGUUCAUGCAGGAGUUUGUGGUCUACACAUGGAAGGACACAUACUAGCUCGUAAGAUUAUGAGGACAGGUUAUUUUUGGUUGACUAUGGAGACAAAUUGUUGUCAAUUUGUUCAAAAAUGCCCAGAGUGUCAGAUUCAUGGUGAUCUCAUACACGCACCAUCAUCAGAGUUACACGCUUUGACCUCGCCAUGACCAUUUUCAUGAGUUCAUCCUAGUCGCCAUAGAUUAUUUCACCAAGUGGGUAGAGGCUGCAUCAUAUGCGAGGUUGACAUCUGUUAGAGUUGUCAGUUUCAUUAGGUCACACAUCAUUUACCGCUAUGGGGUUCCUCAUUCAGAUAGAGGGGUGCACUUUCAAGCUGAGGUAGAUACUUUGUUGCAGAAGUAUGGAAUUUGACAUCAUAGAUCUUCAGAAUAUAGGCCACAGACCAAUGGGAUAGUAGAGGUUGCAAAUAAGAAUAUUAAGCUGAUUUUGAGAAAGAUGUUUGAGACUUCUCGAGAUUGGUCAGAGAAACUCCCUUUUUCAUUGUGGGCAUAUCGUGCCUCUUUUUGUACCUCUACAAGAGCUACACUUUAGUCUCUAGUGUAUGGUAUGGAGGUUGUUUUGUCAGUCGAGAUAGAGAUGGGUUCAUUGAGAGUAACCCUUGAGCAACGGAUUUCUGAGAUAGAGUGGGCUCAGGCUCAAUUUGAUCUAUUUAACCUUUUAGAUGAGAAGAGAUUGAGAGCAGCAGAUCACGUUCAAGCCUACUAGAGAAAGAUGGCUCAUGUCUUCAGGAAGGGUUAAGCCUAGACCAUUACAGAAAGGGGAUUUAGUUUUGAGGAUUCUCAGAGGUAUGGUUGGAGACCCUAGAGGAAAGUUCAGACCUAGUUGGAGUGGGCCUUAUGUUAUUGGAGAGUUAACUCCAGAAGAGGCUGCAUGGUUGACCGACUUAGAUGGAAAACCAGUUUUUAGAGCCUACCAAUGUGGAUCAACUAAAGAAGUAUUAUGUUUGAGAUUAUGGUCGUAGGAUGGGUGGCCAUCAUUUCGGUUAGCUUUACACUUUAUCACUUCUAUCUAUAUAUUAGACCGUUGCUAACCUAUCGAGCCUCAUGUGUUAUGUUAUAGCCUUUUUAUUUUCUAUAACCCUGCUUAUCAUUUCUAUACCCGAGUUGGGGCCCUUUGAUGUAUAGUUAUGAUUUGCUAGGAAAGUCUCAUGAGAUUUGGACUUAUAGGCUUAUCUUCCUCAUCCAUUGCUAUUAUCACCUCACCACUCUAUCUGUUAUAUUCCAUUAUUUUCACAUUGUCAUCUCGAUCCAGACUUUUACCAUUGGUUGCUAUAUUUCACAUUUUCUUCACCUGGAAUGAUAAUUCUUCACAUAUUGGUGCAUAUAGGGUAGUCAUAUCACUCUCUUCAUUCCAUCAUUUGGCAUUGAUUCAGAGACUUUAGCUUGAGAGGUUGUCUCAUGGGAUAGGGUUUCGUGUGUUCAUCAAUGAUUUGAGAGGGUUUAUUCAUUCCUUGUAAUUUCUCAUUGGAGUAUGAUUUAUUGAUGACCAGGGUAUGCAUAUGCAAAAAAAAAAAAAUGAAAAAAAUGAUGAAAAAAAAAACGUAGUGAUAUGUUUGUGCUUGAUAUCCUACUCCAUUGUGCAUGUUUUGUUAUUUGAGGGUUGUUUAUUGGGUUUAUUAUUGAGGGUUUGUGCGAGUUUUCCAUGAGGACUUUUUCACUCUUUGAGUCACUUUCGUUAUGCAGUUAGAGGAAUGACAGAUUUGAGUAUUGUGAGAUCCUUUGUUUCUUGGAUCAAGGUUGUUGUACUUUAGAGGUAUGAGAAUUGAGUGACCUUUCACUAAGGUCUCUGAAUCAGUGUCUUCUCUACUACUCCAUCAUGGGUGAUACGAUUUACCUUUGUUGUAUUGAUAUGCGUUGCUCAUCAUUCCUUUUUACUCACUCACUAUUUUCAUUCGAUUUCCCAUCAUUUCUUUCUUACUAUUUAUUCCUUUUUUUGUCCCAUUUCGACACCUAUACACCUUCCCGACACGACACCUUUCUUCACAUUAUUUACAUGAUUUGCUGAUGGCUUGACCACUUCUUCCCCUUUCUGUUUUCACCAUUGACAUUCUCAUUGACAUCCUUUUAAGUUCACAUGCUCAUGAGAUUUUUCUACACGUUGUACACUAUACAUAAGGGUAUGGGUUUGAUCAUUGGGUAUUUGAGCCUAGUUUUCUUUCAUUUCUUUGCAUUUUCACCCUGGCCUACGUUACGUCCCGUGUCUUAAGACCACCCUGAGGCCAUGAGUCAGAUGUUAUCAUUGACAGUCUUCACUUGGACAGGCUUUUGUAGAUUGGUUGAAGUAUAUUCGUUACUAUGUUUUCUCUUAUGGAAGAUACUUUUGGGAGCAUUUGGUCUCUCUCUUGCUUGGCAUAUUGGUGUUUGAUAGAUUUUUUUGAGUUGGAGACAGUUGAUUGAUGAUUUCGAAUUCGUCAUUUUGAUUGUGCAUCAGAUAUCCACACUGGGGCAUAUUUCUCAUUUUCUUUUAGGUUCCUAAUUGUUGUUGGGCAGUAUGGCUAUUCCUAUUUAUGGUUAUAGAGAUGUUUGAUUGAUUUUGACGGAUUCUUUAUUGUACAUCAAAUAUCUAUACUAGGGCAUAUUCCCCUCUCCAUGAUGAGAUUGUGUUCAAGCAACGGUACAUAGAUAGAUGAUCAUUGUUGGUUGUUUACCUCAUGACUUCGACAUUAGACAUUAUACUGGGGCAUCUUCUCCUCCCCUUGAUGAGAUUUCGUUUGUGUAGUGGUAUGAGGAUGGAUGAUUGGUGUUGAUUGUUUAUCUCACAACUUUGACAUCAGAUUUUAUACUGGGACACAUUUCCCCAUUUUCUUUGAGUAUCCUUGAGAUUGAAACAAUGGUCAGCUUGAUUUUAGAUUGAGUAUUAGUUUAGAGCUUUCGACGAUUAACUAUAUCAGGACCUUCCUACAUGGAUUUGUUGAGAUAAAGAUAGAUCACAUCAGGUUUCACCCAAGGAGCAUGGGUGGAUCCUUUAGCCAGAUGUUCAUGAGAUAGAUUUGUUUUCGUCAUUGUUACCUUGCAGUUUGGAUUAUCCAGAUGAGCAGUAUUUUGUGCACUUGAGAUUUACUUUUAGAUGAGCCACAAUAUACACACUUUGAGAUUUACCUUUUGAGAUUCGUCAAUAGAGCAAUUUUUUCAGACACAAAGGGUUAUUUCAGUCUAGAUUUUUUUUAUUUUUUUAUUUUUCUUUUUAGAGGUUUGUCGUGAUGCAUCGAUUUUUGACCUAUUGAUUCCAGCAAAUGAUUGAUUUACUAGUUGUUUCAAUAGUGCGAGUACCUUGGAUACUAGGGCAUAUUUCCUUUCUUAAGUUCAGUGGUCUGACCCUUGGCAUUUUGAUUAUAUGACUUUGAGCCCAUUUACUUUCUAUCCACAUUGAGUUGGUCUUCUUUAUCUGUUCCUUCUAUGCCCUGAGCCUCGUAGCCUUGAGCUAUCCAUUCCUUCUAGACCUUGAGUCUUAUAGCCUUAAGUUAUUCUUUCUUUCUAGACCCUAAGUCUUAUAGCCCUGAGCUAUCUUUCUUCCCUUAGGCCCUAAGUCUGGUAGCCCUGAGCUAUCAUUUCCUUAAGACCUGGAAUCUUUCUAGCCCUGAGUUGAGCCUUCAUCAUUUGGUCGCCCAUGAGUGGUUUGACCUGGAGUUUGCGUAUCGCAUUCUCCUUUUAACCGAUCAGUCAUAGAGCCCAAAGCUCUCGACCUAGAAUCAUUUUUCAUUUAUGACCUAGAGUCAUUUCUUUUCCUUUCAGAGCCUUGAGCUCACGACCCAGAGUCAUUUUUCAUUUAUGACCCAAAGUCAUUUCUUUUCCAUUUAGAGCCCAGAGCUCUCGGCCCAGAGCCGUUUUUCAUUUAUGACCCAAGUCAUUUCUUUUCCGUUUAGAGCCUAGAGUUCUCGACCCAGAGUCGUUUUUCAUUUGUGACCCAGAGUCAUUUCUUUUCCAUUCAGAGCCCAAAGCUCUCGACCUAGAGUCGUUUUUCAUUUAUGACCUAGAGUCAUUUCUUUUCCAUUAAGAGCCUAGAGCCCAAAGCUCUUGAACCAGAGUCAUUUUUUUCAUUUAUGACCCAAAGUCAUUUUUUUUCCAUUUAAAGCCCAAAGCUCUCGACCCAGAUUCGUUUUUCAUUUAUGACCCAGAGUCAUUUCCUUUCCAUUUAAAGCCCAAAGCUCUUGACUUAGAGUAGUUUUUCAUUUAUGACUCAUAAUCAUUUCUUUCCAUUUAGAGCCCUAAGCUUGUAACUCAAAGUCAUUCAUCAUUUCCAUGACUUUGAGUCAUUAUUUUCAUCCCUUUCCAUCUUUGUGCUACUCAUCACAUACCUUUAUCUUUUUACUGUCAUUCCUCCCACAUAGAGUUGUUCCAUCCUAGUUGUUAUAGCCCGUGUUCUGAUCUUACUCUCGUCAUGUGCUAGGACAAAAUCUCUGGUCCUUCUUUAGUUCUUUGGUACAGUUCACUUCGUUCCACUCAUUAUUCGUAUUUCAACGCACAUUCUCUAUACUCGUGAUCUUUAUCGAAGAGGGGCAUAUUUGUAGACCCUCUAUUUUGUCCCUUUAGCACAUGUCUUUAAGUUCACUUCCAAUGUUUCAUAGUGUUUCUUUGAUGGCCCAUUACUACUUGUGUAGCUUACCUCUUCUGAGCCACUUUGGAGACUUUGGUUGAGGGGUUUAUCCGGCUCCACAUUAUGACCUUGGUUGCCCUUCAAGUUUAGAUUAGGUUUCGCUUAGGUGCACUUAAUGGUUAGACUUAGUUAGGCCCACCUAGUCUUACCCUAGACCCGUAUUAGGUAUACUCGGUCCAUUAGACACCCUAGGCCUAUUAGGCACCUUAGGCCCACCUAGGUCACUUAAGCCCAUUUAGACACCUAGGGCCCAUCUAGGCCCACUUAGACCCACUUAAGCCCACUUGGCCCAUUAGACAUUCUUAGCAUGACUUGCAUAGUUACAUGGCUUGUGUGGCUCAAUUUAUUUAUUUAUUUUUAUUUUUUAUUAUUAUCAAUCACUUUUAUUUGAUCAUUUAUUAUGUUUUUAUUUAUUUAUUUAUUUAUUUUAUUUUCAUUAUUAUCAAUCAUUUUUUGUUAUUUAGUUAUUUAUUAUUCUUAUUUUUUUUAUUAUCUCGUUAUUUAUUCAUUUAUUUAUUAUUAUCAUUUUAUCAUUCUCCCAUUUAUUUAGUUAUUUAUUUUAUUAUUUAUUUAUUUAUUUAAUUUAAUAAUUUGAAAUUUUUAUGGAAGAAGUCUACCAUUGGAGAAGUUUUUGACAACGGUAAGACUCUUUAAAUGAUAUCCAUGGAUUGUAGGUGAUGUGCAUGGAUUGGUAUUGUUUGAAAUUUAAAAAAAAAGAGUUUUUCCGGUACAUAAGAUAAAAUUUGGAAAGAGGAAGACUCCUCAUGUAGAAGGACUGUUAUUUGCUAUAAAAAGCUCUAACAAAUGGGUUUUUGAAAAGGGGGAAAAAAUAUAGGAGAUUCGGAGAUUGUUUUGAGAGAUAUAGAAUCAAGGGAAGAAAUAUAGGAAAUUGGGGAGAUUGUUUUUUUUCAGAAAAAGAGAGUUUUUAUAGGCGAAGGGAAGGAAAGGAGGAGAAGAGGGUGGAGACCAAAAGACAAAGCCAAGAGAGAGAUGAAGGAGAAAGGAAAUUGAUCGGCCUAUUUUCUUUUUGGAGGUAAGUCCUUCAUUAUAAAACCUAUGUUCCCUUUUCUUUUUUUUGUCUAUUAUUAUCAGGAUUUGUUUGAUGAUUGAAUGCAACUUUCAAAGGCCAUAAUUGGUGUUGAUUUUGGAUUGUUAUUGGAUUUGUCAUAGCUUGUGUUUCUUCCAUUGCUUUAUGUUUAUAUUAAAGAACGAUCCGACUUUGUUAGUUCCAUUGUAAUAUCUAGAAGUUCCUUCUUCUUUCUUCCAUAUUCAAGCCUGUUGAAAGUGCAUGCAUGAUACAUGGCUUUGAAUGAUUGCCCAUCUACGUGAUUUCGAUCCCUUCCCCUUGCCAUCCCUUUGCUAUAGAUUUUAUCGCCUUUGUUCAUGGUUUGUGCGUCGGGUUACAAGAACGUCUUAUCGUUUGCAAUGAUUAGCACCCGAGCCAUCCUCAUUUGGCUUUUCAAUGUCACUGGGGAAGUCCUUGGAGGGCGGUUGCUACUCUUGAUAUUACAGGUGGUAUGGUGGAAUUUGUGGGUUUUGUUGAGGGCAUUUGGGUUCAAAUUGAAACUACCCAUCUGAGAUCCUGGAUGAAAGAAUCAAUCCUGUGUCAGUUUUCUGUCUCAGUUAUCUAUAAGAUAGACAAGUGUCCUUAUUAGCAACAGGUGAAAGAAUGGGUAUGUAGAUAGAUCCAAGCCAAGUUGGAGAGUGGUGUCGGACAUGCACUUGAUGAAGGAAACAUUGAGGUUCUUGGAUAUAAACAUGGGUCCAACCAUCAAAUCUGAUGUGACAACCAGUAUGUUGUGUCACAAGGAAGAAAUAUUUGAACCAAUACUUCUCUACAUGGCCAUGCGAAUUUCGAGCAUAUAUACUCCUUGACUGGGACGACUCCCCCCAACCGACAUAUUGCUAGUCCCUUAGCAAUGAAGGAGAGAAAAAUAAAAAUAAAAAGUACUAUAAUUUACAACAUCAUGCUGAUCAAAAAACAAUUUUCAGGUGGCAUGAUGAUCUAACUCUCACAUGGAACAUUAAAGAAAUAAAACUCAAACUUCAACAAGAGUUAUCAAAUAACUUGUCUAAUCACAAUUCUUAAAGAGAAGGCAUUAUGCAAAUUUAAGCUUUAAAAUAGUUUCCACUCCCAAAGGGUCAAACCUUACUCUUCCACAAAAAUCUAAGUGUUAUUUAUUAGUUUCUGAAUAUAGUAUGUUGAACAAAUCUCUCCCCCUAACCUAGUUUUUUUUCAAAGCUUAGCAAACUGAUCAACCUCCAAUAGGCUAAGAACGCACCUCUUUUUUCACAAUUUUUUUCAUUGUAGGAGUACAAGGCUUAAAGGUAUUCUUUUUUAAAUUGUCCAUAUAACGGGGGUCCAUCGAUGACUCCCAACCAAUUAAGGUUUAGGGCAUCAAGCUUUAAGGAUCUUUCAACCACUAACUCCUCGGAUUUUACCCCGGACUUUUGAGAAUGAAUUUUAAUACCCAAGCACCUACAGUAUGUUAAACUCCACCUAUUCACCCUUGUAACGAGCAUUGAGGUCGGUGACUCCCAACCAAUUAAGGCUUAGGGCACCAGGUUUUAAAGAUUUUCACCAUAUACCCCUCAGACCUUGCUCGGGUUUCAAGGCAAGCAAACAUUUUUUUUUUUUUCAAAGACUCAUUGGCCUUUUACAAGGUGUCCCAACACUAUUAAACGAGGUCAAAUGUACCAAGUCUAAAAUUUUCCUAAGUCAAGAGGGAAAUAGUUUUUCAUCUUAUAAUUGGAACCUAUUGUGCACAGUGUGUGAAUUGCUUAAAGUGGAAGAACUAAGGUUGAAUUCAAUAGAAGUUUCAACAAUUCAUCAACUUUAAUAACCAUAAUACAAACUCUAAGUCAAGUAAAAAGACAAAAAUUCAAUUUCUCCCAUUUUAGUUUUGAAAAUUUUUCCUUAAUAACCAUGGAGAGUAGAAUAAAAACUUUAAAAAAUUUUAAAUUAAGCAAAAAACAACUAAAUUACCAAAAUAACUUAGCAUUAUUAACAAUACUUACUUCCUCAACUCCCCCCCCCCAACCAAGCUAAACAUUGUCCUCAAUGUGACAAAAGCGAUUGAAAAAUAGGGAGGAAGUGGUACCUCCUUAGUGACAUGGAGUCUGAGUCGUAUAGGAGAAACCACAUGUUUCAAAGAAAAUAUAAGAGUUAGUGAGUAGAGGAAAUAGAAAAAUGCCAAGUUUAAACAAAAAUGAUGUCUAUGUAUGAUGUAUCAUCAGUAAUACAUCCAAUCCUAGAAUAUAAAACAUCAAAACAUGGAAUUAUGUAUACUAAUAUAAUAAGUAAAUACAAAAAAUAAAAAGAUGAUCAAGUAAUGGUAGGGUCCUGUGGAGUUGAUGCAUUUGUGGUGGCUUCUUGAGUGGGUUGGAUCAGGACUUUGACCUCUGUUCUGGUAGUCUCCUUAGGUGGCAUAGUCUCCUCUACUGGAACUCUCAGUUGAAGCUAUGGGCUCUGAUGGUUUUAGGAGGUCAGAAAUGGAGUGAGAGGCUUGGUGUGUGUGAUCCCAAGGUGUGCGGGGCUCUCCUCUUCAGAUGCAUGGUUGUGAGGCUCUGUUGGCAUUUUAGCAAUUUCCCUUGACUUUGCAAGGUGUUUUUGCAAACCUUCCUCCAUUUCGCAAGUCAAUUUUGCAAUUUGAAGGUCAUUUCGAUGCUUGGAGGUGAUUUCGCAGCCCUUUCGAAGCUUAAAGAUCAUUUCAUAGCCAUUUCGUAGCUCAAAAGUGAUUUCGCAGCCCAAAAUUGAUUUCGCAGCUCAUUUCGCAGCUGCAAAAUGAGUGUAUGGGGCUUUGAAAUGGCUCUCAUGUGCCAAAAAGUGGUUUCGCAGCUCAAAGGUGAUUUCGCAGCUGUAUCGCAGCUUUGAAAUGAGGGGAUUUGUGCUGAAAAUGGCACUCGUGUGCCAAAAAGUGGUUUCGCAGCUGUGAAACACCCUUCCAAAUGGUGUCUCAACUGCGAAAUUCUCGCUCAACUUUGCACGCUUGUCUUCAAACGACCAUAACUUCUUCGUUUCAACUCCAAAUUGUGCACCGUUUGAAGCUCUGGACUUCUGACUUCCCAAGCUUUGAAAAAAGAUAUGGUAUGCAUAAUUUGAGCUCCAUUAAGUGCUUCAAAAAUGUGUCCAACAGUAGUGAAAUGGAGGUGCGACAUUUCCGCUCAUGGUUUGCACAGUCAUCUUCAAAUGGCCAUAACUUUUCCGUUUCAAAUCCAAAUUGAGCACCGUUUAAAUCUAUGGACUCUUGACUUCCCAAGAUUUGAAACGAGAUAUUGCAUGCAUAAUUUGAAUUUUGGUAAGUGAUCGAGAUGUGUCCAACAAUUGCCAAAAUGGGAGUACGGCUGUGACAUGUCUGUUCAUGGCGUGCGCGCUGAAGGAUUUUAAGGUGUAGAGGUUUGCAGCCAUUUCGCAGCUACGAAAUGAGUGUACGGGGCUUCCAAAUGGCAUUCGUGUGCCAAAAAGUGGUUUCGCAGCGGCAAAAGACCCUGCGAAAUGGAGCUUUGGAUGCGAAAUUGGGAGUUUUUACGCUUUGUGAUUUCACAGCCAUUUCGCAGCUGCGAAAUGAGGGUCACUGUGCUGUGAAAUGGCACUCGUGUGCCAAAAAGUGGCUUCGCAGCUAAGAAAUCCUCUCCGAAAUGGAGCUUUCCCUGCGAAAAUAGGAUAUUUCAUGCUUUGGUAGUUCGCAAUCGUUUCGCAGCUGCGAAAUGGGAGUCACCGUGCUGCGAAAUGGCACUCAUGUGCCAAAAGUGGUUUCGCAGCUGCGAAAAUUUUCGCAGAGAGGGGCCUAAGGCUAUGAAAUGGUUUCGCCGCAAAGUGCUGAUUUCGCAAAGGCUGCGAAAUCUCCCAGACCCCUGUUUUUGCUCUGUUUUCGCUCCGAUUUCGCUCCAAAAGACUUCCUUCAAUUUCUUUGCAAUUCCUCCUGAUUUUGAUCAUCUAAAAACCUAUAUUACAUCAAAACAAAUUAGAAUUAAAGCAUUGAAAUCAAAAUUAAAACAAGUAAUAAGUAAAACAAAAAGAUAUGGACUAGCUAGUCUUUAGAAAGACUAAGUCCAUCAAAAAAUUUGAUCCUGUGGUUUAGCUUGCCCGGAUCCCAUAUGAAGUUUGCAUCCCUCACUUGAGACUUGCUUUGUAUGAUUUUCUCAUACAAAGCUUGGAGGAAAGGUGGAGGCAUGUGUUUCUUCAUCAAUUCUUUCUUGAUGACUAUCCUCUGUGGUUCUUCAUCUAUAUAGUCAUCUUUCUCUGUACUUUUCCCCUUUUUCUUUCCUUUGAUUUCCUCCCUCUUUUCUUUCUCUGUUUCACUCUCUACCUUAUGGUCUAGCUUGUAUGUGGGCAGAUCAACCUCUUUACCACUCCUCAGAGUGAUCACUUCUUCAAUUUCCUUCACCAUUGAAGAUUCUCCCUCUUGAGCCUCCAUUUCAUGGAUACUCAUGGAAUUUUGAUAAGAUUGAGAAGGAGAGUUUUCUUUCUCUUGCACUGUGUUCAAAUUUGUGAGCCUUGAAAUUGAGUAUUGGAGAUUAUCAAACUUUUGGGAUAUAUCAUUUUGCAUUUCAUCCAUCCUUUUAUUCAAAGUACUCUCCACUCUGUCAAUUCUUUGAUUGAUUUGAGCAUUGAUGGCUUCUUGGUUUCCAACAAAAUCUCCCACUACCUUGCUGAGAUUCGCUAUUGCUUGUUCAAGACUUGAAGAUUGUUGAGAUGGUUGAUCCGGCUGUUGGUACUGAGUUGCUCUGGCCUUCCAUGAGAAAUUUGGAUGAUUCCUCCAACUUGAGUUGUAAGUAUUUCCAUAAGGCGCAUUGUUAUUGGGCUUGAAUUGUCCAACAACAUUUGCUUGAUCUCUAAACAUUUCCCUUUUAGCUGAAAUUGCAGAGCAUUCCUCCACCAAGUGUUCAUAAGAUAGACAAAUGGCACAAAGCAUAGCUUGCAAUGGUGUCUGAGAGAUGGCUUGCACUGGUUGCAUAUUCGUCAUUUCUAGCUUUUCCAAUCUCCUUCCCAUAGCUGCAAUCUUUGCCUUCAUGUCUAUGCCAUCAUUUAAAAUAUACAUCUCACCCUUAGCAUUAGGUUGAGACGUCAUUCUUCCCAUAUCUCUAGCAUUUGGUUCAUCCCAUCCUCUUGAGACUUCAGCCAUAUAACUCAUGAAGUUCAUGGCUUCCUCUGCUAUGGUAUUCAAUAUGGCAUGCACAACUAGAAAUUUGUGAAUUAAAAACAGAGAACACAAAAUAAAACAAAAGAAAAACAAUUCAAAGAAAGAAAAUUAAGGUAAACUAAAAACUAAAUAAAAGGUAUACUAAAAUAUGAACAAUAAAGAAAUAAAAAGAGUUAGUAAAAGGAAAAGAAAAGUCACCAAACUUGUGAUGAAGAUCACAAGUACUCUAAAAAGGUGAUAUCACUGUAAAGUGGCACCAGUCCCCGGCAACGGCGCCAUUUGAUUUGUGCCCAAUUGGUGUCUCAGCUGAUUCGUGUCCAGCUGGCGCUCCUUGAUUGAGGGAGUAAUCAACAAAAUUUAUAACCUAUUACACCAUAUACUAGGGUAGCAAAGAAAAAGCUACUAUAGCAUAGUGUCUCUAGGAUCGUUCACUGAGAUGGGUUUUCACUUUGCAAAUGAUAUUAAUUCAAAGCUGAAUUGGUGCCUUUUCAUUUCAAGGUUAGCUUUAAAAGAAAACAUAAAGAUGUUUGAAUGGAAAAAGGUUUGGUUUUAAACUAACCAAAAAUAGUAACUGAUUUUACUUACAAAGAAAAGUGUUUCUUGGAGUUUCAGAUCACUAGACUCAGAUUCCUCAUACAAAAAGGGAGUUCCGGUCACUUGUUUCUUUUCCUCGCAUUAGAGAAUUAACAUAUAGUUCCUUCUCCAACCGGUGUUGUACAGAUGCUUCCCAUUAAUGGGUUCAAACACUAAAUCCCUCUCACUGAUGCACCUUGCAAUGGCUCGUGUCUCUCACCUAGCAUUUGCCAUUCAAGGUGAUCUUUAACCUUGGAUUACCCGUCAAAAGCUCGCAAGAGAUAACUAAUGGAUGUCUCCUUGGAGUCCAAAAGCUUACCAAGUGUUGGCUAUUCUAGAAAAUUCUACCUUCAAGUCACCUCCCAAAGGCUCGCAAGAGAUAAACUAGUGAAUCUCCAUGAACAGAGAUCACUUGCCUUACCAAGUGUUGGCCCAGGUGAUUUAAAGGCGUUUUAAGUUAACUAAAAAGAUAAAAACCAUUAACGGGUCACACUUUCUCUUCAUUAAAAACUAAAACAACAAAACUUCCAAUUUAUGCAUGUGGAAACUUACCCGGCUUUCUCACUCCAAGAGACAAAAAGCUUAGCCUCUCAUCCUCUGAGGAAAAAUCUUCAGAGUUUGAUUGGCUAGAAAGAAAACUAAUGAGAAAACAAGAAUAUAUAUAUGAAAAACAGAGCAAGUGCUCUGUUCGUUGAUUCUAUAUAUGAUAUAUCUAUCUAUUUUACAGUGGAUGCAAGGGGAUAUAUAUAGAGACGUUUUUCCAACCUUCUUAACUAAGAAAUCUUAUGAUUGGUGGAUUACAAGGAGAAGUAUGGAAAUUUAUACAAAAAUAUCUGAAGAAAAGAUCUAAAAGAGUCAGUGCACAAAUAUCGGGAAGCACUAAGGACCAUUUCGCAGGUGAAAACGAGGUCUGCGAGAUUUCGCAGACACACAAAAAGGGCUGCGAAAUCACUUCGCAGCAAAAGGCUGAUUUCGCAGCGCUGCGAAGUUGGCUUUCAGCUUGUGGUGUUCGGCUUCCAACGUGUUGCAAAUAUCGGGGAAACUUCAGGAGGAAUUCCACAACACUGUGCAAAAUGGCUGCGAAACCAUUUCGCAGCAAAAGGGUGAUUUCGCAAUGCUGUGCAAAAUUCUUUCUUCAACUUGGAGUGAUCGGCUUGCAAUGGAUGUAACUCCUUCAUUUCAACUCCGAAUCGUGCUCCGUUUAAAGCAUUAGAUUCUUGACUUCCUGAGCUUUGAAAUGGUAUAUAGCAUGUAGAAAAUGGACUUUGGAAAGUGCUCCAAAAGUGUGAAAGAAGACUGCAGCUGCUGUCCUCUAUUUUCUUCACUCUGUUUUUCCUCUCUCCGUUGUUCUUUCCUUGCAUACUUUGAACGACUUUGGCAAAGGGCUAUGGAGCUCCAAAGCUUGGUUCUUCAUGAAUUUGAGCUUCCAAAAGCUUUGCCAUGAACUAUAUACAGCUCUCCCUCAUUCUUGGAUUGCUUUGGUGUAGCUAAAAGCUAUCAAAAACACCAAAACUUAACACAAUUUGAUUAGAAUUGAUUGCAAGGGUCCUUAACAUGCCAAUUGAGUUAAAAGGUAAUAACUACUACUCAAAAGUGUUUAAAAGAAUUAAUUACAAGCUAUGAAAUAGCACUUUUUGAGUAGUAAUCAAUGACGUUCAUAAUGUUGACCACGUGUGAACUAUUUUCUGAAGGUGGGAAUUUAUCGAAUUCAUUUCAGCGGCCAAUUUUGUGUGUAUUUGAUCAGACUUUGAGCUAUCAAUUGGAAUCCAGCAUAACUUUAGUUAUCGGCCGCUCGUUCAUGAUGUGUUGGGUUUGAAGCUUAAUAGGUUGGAGUAUAGGGCAGACCUCUACCACUGCUAGGUUUGCCUGACACAAGUGGACAGAUUGUUUAUAUGUUGGAUCAAGUGCGUGCCUUGGAAAAUGAGAUGCUUCUUAAGAUACAAAAGCAAAGUCUUGAUGUCAUCCCUAAAAUUCUCAUAGUUACCUGACUUAUACCUGAUGCAAAGGGGACCACACGCAAUCAGAGACUUGAAAGAAUCAGUGGUACAGAACAUACACAUAUUUUUGAGUGCCUUUUAGAACAGUAAAUAGUAUUCUGCAGAAAUGGAUCUCAAGGUUUGAUGUAUGGCCAUAUCUGGAAACCUUUGCAGAGGAUGCAUCAAAUGAAAUUGCUGUCGAGCUAUAGAGAGUUCCAGAUCUGAUCAUUGGCAACUAUAGUAAUGGGAAUCUUGUUGCAUCUUUAUUAUCUUAUAAGCUGGGAAUUACGCAGUGCAAUAUUGCUCAUGCAUUGGAGAAAACAAAAUAUCCAGAGUCUGAUAUAUAUUGGAGAAAAUUUGAGGAUAAGUACCAUUUCUCAAGCCAAUUUACUGCUGAUCUAAUUGCAAUGAACAAUGCAGAUUCUAUAAUCACCAGUACAUACCAAGAGAUUGUCGGAAGCAAGAAUCAUGUUGGACAGUAUGAGAGCCACACAACCUUCACUCUUCUAGGGCUGCACCGAGUUGUUCAUGGCAUUGAUUUUUAUCCUAAGUUUAAUAUCCAGAAGCAGACAUUGUUGAUGCCUUGCGUCCCAAUGAUCCACGUAGCUGCCAAGUGGACGCACGCUUUCAACCAAGAUUGAGUUCUGGUUCAGUCUUCUCUGCAAAAGAUGUUCGGACAGGGUGUCCGGACACACCCUCCGAUGGUUUUGUUAGUCAUGGCUCAAGAGAUUAAGCUAUCUGGCUUUUUUAGGGAUAGUCAACUUACCUUCCUCCUUGUGUGAAGGUCCUUUUAUAUAGUGUCAGAAGCUCUGCCUCCCUCUUUAAUGGUGGGAAGACUUUUUGACUCGUCAUGAUGCCUCUAGGUGGUGGCAGGGCCAUCAUCACCUUUCGGACGGCUGUCAGAGAUCGUGGGAGGUGACUUGCCAUCAUUCUUGUCAUUUCGCUCUACAGGCGACGGAACGUGGGCUGUGUCAGGCUGUCGGAAUGACGUAGCAAGGCUUGCUUACUUUAGUCAAUGACCCGAACAACAUAUCCGGAUAGGAUAUGCUAUCGUCCGGGUGUGAUGUUCGCGAGUGCCCUUGUGCUUUUCCCUGAGGGAGUCCGGAUAGGGGAGCGCGCCACGUGUCCUCUUGGGGAGUUCGGAUGGAGUUGCCCCAAAUAGCGAUGCGUGCCACGUGUCAUCAGGGGGAGGGGUCCCUACAAACAUGCCCAUAUACUUCUCAUACUCGGAAAAGGAAAUGGUUGAAAGUCACAUGCAGAAACUGGUCCAUAUGGAGAACUUGAAAAUAUGCACAUAUUCCUUUUUUUAUCCUUGCUGUCAGUUUUCACUCAACCACUGACCCUUUAAUUUCAAAAUUCAGUUCAUCAAUUUUAGAAUAUAUAUAAAAAAUUUCCAAAACUUGUAUGACUUUCUUCACUUCUUGAACUUGAAUUUAAAGUUUCGUUUGAGUUAGAAAACCAUUAUGGAAUAGAAGAUAUAAAAGAGUCUUUAGGGGGGCUCCAUUUUCACCAAGUUCUGGACACCCGAGAUCUUUUUGCAAAAAUAAAAUACUAGACGACUUUUAAAAUUUGAUUCAAUAUUUUUCCUCAAUUUUAAGCUUCUUUAAAUUGAUCUCAGGUACAUAAAAUAUUAAAAAUAUACCUUUUUGAGAGAGAAAUGAUUUUUUUAAAGUCAUGCCUACUGCGUAUGCUAGAGUCUGUACAUCUUAUUAGAUUUAGUGUUUUAAAAAUACUUUUAAGUACUAUCUGACCUUGAAUUUAUUUUUUAUGUGAUAUAGACACUUUUAAAUAUGAGUGUGAUUUGUUUUAUGAUUUUAUGUGAUCAUUUAUUAUUUUUUAAAAAAAUCAUUUAUGCAUGUCACUUUUCCUUAUCUAAUCUGGACUUUGUAGAACCUUUAGGUGUCUUUGCUGUAAUCUGUCUUUUGAAUGAGUGUUUGGCUUUUGGUAUGUUGAUCUAGAUGUGUAGAAAUUGUCUCCUAAAAUUUUUUCGUAAUUAAAUUCCACUCUAAGCCAUUUUUUUAGAUAUUGUUUUAUGAUGCUUCCUUUUCUAACUACAUGUUGAUGGUUUUAUACUUUACUCGAAAUUGUUAUUAUUUUUGAAGUCAUUUGAUUUAUCUUAGCUCAAUUUUGGCUUGGACACUGUACAUUAGACAUAAUGGAUAUUUUAUAUAAUUUAUUCUUGCCCUAACCACUCUAGCAUUUUUCGAGGAAUCUUAUAAAAUAUACUUGCUAUCCAAGUACGUUCUCUAUCCUCUAAUUCCAAAAUUCUAUGAAAAUGCAUAUUAUCAUGAGCUAUAUCCAUGUUUUGAUUUAAUCCUUGGGUGCUUAGAUGUAUGUUUGACUUGCUUGGAUAAAAUGCAUGUUGUGUGCUAUAUCUCUAUACUAACUUUGAUGUUUUAUGAUAGCGCUUGAGAGGCAGUCCAGGUAUAUACCCUAACUCUCCUUUAUUGUGAUUUGAUCUUGUUUGGCAUGCUAUUUUUUGGAAUCACCUAGCCUACUUAGGUACCUAUAAUUAACCAAUUAAUUGUCAUAUUUCCCUCAAAUUAGUUAGUAGAGACCUUUAUAGGGCUUAGAGGGGUGCUACCUUUUAGAGGUACCUUCCCAAUAGAUAACCUGAUCCCCAGACCUAGACUCGGGUUUUUCAAAGACACGCUUUUUCCAAAAAUUAUGGAGUCACUUUUUAGGGUUUUCUUUCUUGUUUUAUUUUCCCUUCAAAAUAAAAAUAAAAUAAGUGGUGACUCCGACUUUUCCAAAAUUAUUUUUUCACAAAUAAAAGCGAGUUUCGCCGAUCGAGUGGGGCGCACAUGAAAAAUGCGGGUCCACAAUGCUAUUAUAGUUCAAAUAUAUUUCACUUUUUUUACCUUUUAAAUAUAGAGAUUAAAUGACAUAAAAAUGUGUAAAUUUAUAACUAAUUUUAACUAUAUUUGAUUUUCUUUUGUAUUUUUCUUUGUGAACUCAAACAUGAUAAAAUAAUUUUCCUUGGUAUUAAUUUCUUUGUUUUUUUUUUCUUUACUCAGUACUUUCCCAAAACUAAUACAAUCUUCAACUUUGUAAUCUUCCUUAGUAGAUGUUUAUUGGUGUGUUCAGUGUGCUUCAGCCAAGUCACAUCCCUUCGACUUCAGCCAAUAGAACGGGACUAUUCUUCUUCCUAAGAUUUCUUUAAAUUAAUUUAGAGUCUAAGAUGCUAUACUUUGCAUCCUAAAGAAAGAUGUGAAGCUAUAAAAAAUAAUGAAUUUUGACACAAAAGAAAGGGUUAAAGGACUGAGCAAUCCAAAAGCUUGGUUUCAAUGUUGAGCACCUUUCAAGUUCGAAGAGCUAAAAAAGUUCCUAGAGUUUUCAUUGAUCUAAAACAAUGAAAACAUGCUUUGUGACAAGAUUUGCCAUUGACACUGAAACAAUAUAUAUAUAUAUAUAUAUAUAUAUAUAUAUAUAUAUAUACUUUUUAAACUUUGUUGAUUCAACCCUAUAACAUAAUUUCACAACAUGAUUAAUCACAUUUUCAAUAAUGAGUAGAUGCGAAGUGACUACAACUGAUUUUGAAAUCUUGUGAUGUAUAAGUAUUGAAUAUUUGAUAUUUGAUAGUUUAUAGCAAUUUUAAAAAAUAAUGUUGCAAAAACUUACUAUGGGACAUAUGUGAGAAACAUGACACUAUGCCACAUAGGAUUACUGGCAUGACAUGUGAAUUUGUAAACCUGAAAUUGUGCUUUUAUGUCAGUAUUUGGAUGACACUUCCAUUUAAAUUGUGGAAUCGUAUCUACGAUUAAGAGCAAUUUUAAGCAGAAAAAAAAAAAAAAAAAAAAAAGACCUAAUCCAACCGAUUCAAAUACAUGUUGAAAUCUGAAUUGUUAAAUAAGGAGAUAAAUAUAUAAGAUGAGAAUACAAUCACAUAGAAAAAAGGUACAAAGAAAUAGGAUGACAAUAUAAAGUUAUGGGAACUAAGCUACAUAAUAAUAGGAUUAAGAUCAUAUAAAACAAUGAGACUCCAUAUAAGGUGAAGAAACAAUCUAUAGUCACAUAAAAAACAAAGAAACCCAGAUACAGAUAUGGAAUCACCUUAUUGGUGAUAGCUUUUGGGUACGGUUUCUUCAACAUACUGCUACAUGUCUUUCACCAUCUCCUUAAAAUCUAUAUCUUCAAUCAGCGGCUGAGAUAAGCAAAUCCAAUUUUCUUCCAUCACAGAAUUUGGAUUUGCUUAUUUUAGCCGCUAAUUGGAGAUGUAGAUUUUAAGGAGAUGGUGAAAGUCAUGUUCUUAAAUCCUUUGCCGCAUCUCUUUCUCAUCCACAAGCAGAUCAAGUGAUCUCCUUCUCUUGUUCAACUAAACCAUGAAUUGGAAAGCGAUUAAAGUUCGGAUAACCUGGUCUUGGAAUGACUGCAUGUAAGGAGUUGGAUGGUGAACUUGCUGCUAGGAACUGAAUUCUCUACUGCAUCUUCUCUUGUAGUAACAAGCUUUUUCUUUAUUUGAAUCAACAGCCUUCUGGUAUUGCAUAGAAGCCAGAGAGUAGCCAUGCAAGGGGCCAGCCUUCAUUCUGAUUAAUGUUGACGACCCAGUCUUCCAAUGCGCUGAUGGCCUUGUCGAGACAAUUUCCUCCUUCUGAUUGAUGUCGAUGGUGUGAUGCUUUUAGCUUCCAACGCAUCUCUCCCUGCUGUGUUCCUCCUCUGCUUCUUGCAACUCAUCCAUAUUUGUUAUUCAAAUAUCUAAUCCUAUGUUUGGUACUUGGAAAAAACUAGGGAAAGGAAAAAGAAUACCAAGAAAAAUUAUUUUUUAAUAUUUUCUUUAUCAUAUAAAAGUAGAAAAGAAAAUUAAAUAUAAUUGAAAUUAGUUAGAAACUUACAUUUUUAAAUUAUUUAAUUUUUAUAUAAAAAAUUAUAAAUAAAUAAAAUGAGUUUGAGAAAAAUAUAUAAAUAUAUUUCUUUUAUUUUCCUUCACUUUUUCUUUUCUUUUAUUUUUCCUCUCUAUUUUUUCCCC